GGUCACGUCAAAAACGCUAGGUCCUUUUCCCGGCGCCGCAGUGAACUAGUCUGCGUCUUCUCGUCGACUAACCUCUGGGCUUUUGUCUGACCGCUGAACAAUUCCCGGGCAGAGCAGGAGGGAAAUACAUUUCACUGAUUAAAGCUCCACAUUGGAAUGAUCACCCAGCUACCUCAGCUACAUGGAAGCAUAGAGCAGGACUCAACCUCAUUCCAAGGGUGAAAUGGGUCUGCUCCAGAAAUGUUCUCCUGCGGAGAUCUCGUAAGAAGUGCCCUCAGCUGGUCCGUCCGUCUGCCAUUAGGCCUCUCCACACUUUUUAUCCCUAGACCUCCGAGACCUCAAACUGCCAAAUGAGUUGAAUUAUGGCCAGUUAUGUGGAGUGGACCCAGCGUCACGGGGGAGAGGCCUGAGUCAGUGGAACUAACCACACUCCUGACCAUUAAAAGGCAGCCUGACACUGCCUCUUCAUCUUAUCCCCUGCUCUCAAAGGCCGGCAUUGAAAACCCAUGUUCCCCAGAGGAGAGACACAGAACAGCAAACCAACCAAUGAGCCAGGCAGGCAGCCAUGCAGUCUGUCAGGCAGGCAGGAAAGCAACCAA